CAGCUAAUGGUUCAAGUGUAAUAUAGUCGGACAGGAAAUUCUUGCCCAAAAUGAUCAUUGCAAUUUGAGUGCUAGAAGAAAGUACUGCUAGAUAUUAAUGGUGAACUCUUAUAGUGGGAAUUGCGCCUAUAGAAAAGCCUUGAAUAGGAUUGAAGGUGAAUUCUUUUUUGACAUUUGGAAAGUUGCACCAACAAGAAAUUCUGGUAUUAUUUGGACCUUGUGAAUUAUCUUGAUAGGGAGAUCAAGUGUUAGGUUCCAACAACUCCUCUCAUGGUUUAAUUGUGACUGU
rnacentral:lncRNA from 1 species